rnacentral:lncRNA from 1 species
CAACAUAAUAUUACUGCGUAUUGAACUACUUUUUCUGUCAAAUUUGUUGUAUAACAUGAUGUUUUGGUGCUUAAUUUGUCAAUUCAUAACCUAAUUUGAUGUUUAAUAGGCUUUUCCUUAAUCCAUCCUUAUUAUCCAAGAUAUUCGCUUAUCCAAGGUUCUGUCGGCCUGUUUAGCUUGGAUAAGUGAGACUCUACUGUACCACCAAUUCCUCAAUACUUUAUUUCCCAUACCACCAUACUUCGCCACAGCAAUGCGUGGCCGGGCACAGCUAGUAUACCAUAUAUACUUGAGUAUAAGCCGACCUGAAUAUAAGCCCACCAGGACCCUCACCCGAGUAUAAGCCGAGGAGGGGUUUUUUAAUCCUAAAAAAGGGCUGAAAAACUAGGCUUAUACUUGAGUAUAUACAGUACCUUUUUAAAAAGGAUUAUCUGUGCAAAAAUAUGAAUCCAACAAUCCAGGAGCUGCAAACCAAUGUGGGGAAGCAUUUGUGUGCUCCAGGCCACAAUCCCCCCAUUCCCAUUUCAAGACAUUCUUAACCUCCUGGCUUGUGUGUGCUGACAUCUUUACAGGCCUCUCCGGCACACAGAGCGUCUAAGGAACUGACUCAAGAGCUAUAAAUAAAUCAACAGAAUACAUAAUUUAGCAAUCAAUGUAAAAACAAAGGCCCUGUCAAAGAGGCCACUCCACUAAUGAAUAUUCUUUAUUUACCAUGCCGGCAAUGAAGUGGCAUUAAAGAUAGAAUGUGCAUGAUAGCCCAGAGUUGGGUGGCUGUCUUUGGUACUUGAAAGAGAGAAAGAGAUAGACAGACAGAUAGAUGCACAAAUGUACGAAAUGCAUGAAAUGCAUGAAAUGCACAUGUACAUUGUGACAUCCAAGCAGUCUCUAGGCAAAUGCAGAUAUGUUCCUGAGUUGUAAGCCCUGUGCCAAAUUACAGCCGGUCUUUUUCUGUUCUGAAAUAUUACUUUCUAUGCAGAAAACACCCUUAUUUUGCACCAAAUAGGCAUCCAAGUUUCGAGCAGAACAAGCCAUUUACUGCAGACUCUGUGCAGAAUGGAUCUCAAAUUGCACAAUUUUCAGCGUAAAGAAAAUAAAAUGUUUAAAAUGUUUUAUGUGGUUAUAAUGUUUUAAUUUUACUGAUCUAUGUUUUAAUUUAAUUUUAGUUUUAAUUUGUCUCCAUGUGAGCUGUUUCAAGUCCCUUCAGGGAGAUGUAGGCGGGAUACAAAAACAAAGUUAUUAUUAUUAUUUUAUUAUGACACAGCAAACAAGAUAGAUAUGCUGGAUUUCAUAUCACAAAAUCACAAGUCGAACACUUCCCAAGUGUCUAGGACUGUGUCAUGUAUUUUCGGAUGAUGUGCGCAGAUCCCAGUAGGGUGGCCUUUUGCAGUUGGCAGAUCGUAAUUUUG